UACGGGGGGAGCAAGCGUUGUUCGGAUUUACUGGGCGUAAAGGGCGCGUAGGCGGUACAACAAGUCACUUGUGAAAUCUUGAAGCUUAACUUCAAACGGUCAAGUGAUACUGUUGAACUAGAGUGCAGAAGGGGCAACUGGAAUUCUCGGUGUAGCGGUGAAAUGCGUAGAUAUCGAGAGGAACACCUGCGGCGAAGGCGGGUUGCUGGGCUGACACUGACGCUGAGGCGCGAAAGCUAGGGGAGCGAACGGG
rnacentral:rRNA from 1 species